UACGUAGGUGGCAAGCGUUGUCCGGAUUUACUGGGCGUAAAGAGCGCGCAGGCGGUCGGAUCAGUCGAAUGUGAAAGCCCCCGGCUCAACUGGGGAGGGUCAUUCGAUACUGUCCGACUCGAAGGCAGGAGAGGGAAGCGGAAUUCCCGGUGUAGUGGUGAAAUGCGUAGAUAUCGGGAGGAACACCAGUGGCGAAGGCGGCUUUCUGGCCUGUUCUUGACGCUGAGGCGCGAAAGCUAGGGGAGCGAACGGGG
rnacentral:rRNA from 1 species